GUUGCAGGUCCGCACGGGACUUCACCCCGUCACCCGGGCGGGACGAAGCCGUGUGGCGGGCGGCCGAUUUCGUG
rnacentral:tRNA from 1 species